GCCAGGCAUGAUGGCACAUGCCUGUAAUCCUAGCUGCUUGGGAGGUUGAGGCAAGAGAAUCAUAAGUUGAAAGCCAGCCUGAGCAACUUAGGAAGACCCUGUCUCAA
rnacentral:sRNA from 1 species